GCCCUGAUACUAUAUGGCUAUCUUGAGAAGUUUGUUCAUGAUUGUGAGGUUCGAGCAGCGACCAACCAGCCAGCUCAACUGCAAGCCAACAAAGGAAUGAGUAACCAACUAAUGGCUGGUGUGAUCCACAUGAUCUCUGGAGGUACAGACCCUAAAGAGGCAGAGUGUCUAGAGCGCACCUGAAGAGAUAGCGAGGUGAUAAUGUUAUUUCUUUUUCUGAUGAUGACUUAUGAGGGGUUCAAACUUCUCGUGAUGAUGCUAUUAUUGUUUCUAUGAU
rnacentral:lncRNA from 1 species